rnacentral:lncRNA from 1 species
UACUUAUACUUAUAGCUACCUUGCCCCAGUCACUUCAAGUGAACUCUACGGGAGGAGGGGGACAUUGAAAAUCCCUGGGUUUACUUGGUAAAAGCAAGAAUUGAACCAUACAUUACAUGUAUAUGGAGAGCAGUUUUAAAUAUAUUUUAUCAUGCAAAUACCUUGAUAAUUGUUCUUACACGUCUUUGGCUUAGAAUGGGUACACCCUCCAAAGGUGCUUAUUUACAGGGUCCAAAGGUGUAAAUAUACACUGUCCAAGGUGUUAAUAUAAGCAACAAAAACAAUGUAUAUAAUUAAAUUUUAUUAAAUAAAAUGUGGAAUAUUUUACAAAUUGCAUUACCAUCCCAAAGUGUACAUAAUUUAUCAAUAUAAUUAGGACUUAGAAGCUGUUCACAUGAGUUUGACUCUGACCCAGCACCUUUGGCUAGCUCCCCUUGCCUGAUCACAAGUAGAAAACCUCCAACCCCCUCUGACAAAUCAGUCCAGAUCUGCCCAAGAGGCAGGAUUUUCUGGAAUAUUAUUAGCAGUGAAAUUGUUGCAUAUUUUCAAGCAUGCAUUGUAACCUGAUUUUAAAGCCUGUUUGAACAUCAGACAUUGUGGCAAUGGCAAGAUGGUUCAGCCACAUGAAUACAAUCUUAAAAUAUCAUAAAAACAAUGCAAUUUAAGGCCAGACAGCCCAACUCCUGCGAACAGCCCUUUAUAAUUACACAUUUGAAGCAUCUCUUGAGGCAUCAAAGUACUGUACAUGCAGGCACAUGGAAUUACAUACGAGUAUGUGACAUAAGCCCACCAUUGCACAACUUUGUCUGCAACAAUGCAAAUACAACAAAUGCAAAUACAAUCAAGCUGGAAACGGAUUUUAUCAGUAUUUUGAUAUAUACAUUAUGGCUCAUGUCUAAAGACACCUGCACUUUCAUAUUGAAAUUGUUCUAAUAUCAUCCAAACAAAACACAUCAGAAAACUGUAACAUCAGCCAAAUGGGCAAAUCAUUUUUUUAACACAAUUUAUGGUAAAAUGAAGCAACAUGUAAUAGUAUCUGAAACAAAACCAAAUCACA